rnacentral:rRNA from 1 species
CUACGGGAGGCACCAGUGAGGAAUUUUGCGCAAUGGGGGAGACCCUGACGCAGCAACGCCGCGUGAGCGAAGAAGGCCUUCGGGUCGUAAAGCUCUGUCAAGUGGGAAAAGGUUUUUUGGUGAAUAGCCAAGAGAUUUGAUGGUACCGCUGGAGGAAGCACCGGCUAACUCCGUGCCAGCAGCCGCGGUAAUACGGAGGGUGCAAGCGUUGUUCGGAAUUACUGGGCGUAAAGAGCGUGUAGGCGGUUUGGCAAGUCAGAUGUGAAAGCCCCGGGCUCAACCUGGGAAGUGCAUUUGAAACUGUCUGGCUAGAGUAUGGGAGAGGAGAUUGGAAUUCCUGGUGUAGAGGUGAAAUUCGUAGAUAUCAGGAGGAACACCCGUGGCGAAGGCGAUUCUCUGGACCAAUACUGACGCUGAGACGCGAAAGCGUGGGGAGCAAACAGGAUUAGAUACCCUUGUAGUC